rnacentral:misc_RNA from 1 species
GUAGGUGAACCUGCGGAAGGACCAUUAACACGUAUCCAAACGUUAAAACAACCCUGUGAACCUUCACGCGUGUUCUUCCAGGACGCCAAAACAGCAAUCUCUCGUAAAACAGGCCCUAAAGAAUUACAGAUAUUGAUUUGAGAGAAAUCUGUCAGUCGGUGGACGCUGGAAUUGAGCACUAGAUAAAGCACCCUGGUACCUUCUGAUCUAUCACCAAUGUCUGAAAGUGUCAAGUGAUGGUCAGGGUAAC